GACGAACGCUGGCGGCGUGCUUAAUACAUGCAAGUCGAACGGGCUGCCUGGUUUUCGGAUCGGGUGGUGAGUGGCGAACGGGUGAGUAACACGUGAGUAACCUGCCCCUCUCUUUGGGAUAACGUCGGGAAAUCGGCGCUAAUACCGGGUAUUCUGGCUUCCUCGCAUGGGGUUGUUGGGAAAGGUCUUUUCUGGUGGGGGAUGGGCUCGCGGCCUAUCAGCUUGUUGGUGGGGUGAUGGCCUACCAAGGCGGUGACGGGUAGCCGGCCGGAGAGGGUGUCCGGCAACACUGGGACUGAGACACGGCGCAGACUCCUACGGGAGGCAGCAGUGGGGAAUAUUGCACAAUGGGCGGAAGCCUGAUGCAGCGACGCCGCGUGGGGGAUGACGGCCUUCGGGUUGUAAACCUCUUUCAGUGCAGAACAAGGCUCUUUGUGGGUUGAGGGUAUGCGCAGAAGAAGCGCCGGCUAACUACGUG
rnacentral:rRNA from 1 species